UGACAAACCGGAGGAAGGUGGGGAUGACGUCAAGUCAUCAUGCCCCUUACAUCCUGGGCUACACACGUACUACAAUGCAACGGACAAAGGGCAGCCAACUAGCGAUAGUGCGCAAAUCCCAUAAACCGUUGCUCAGUUCAGAUUGCAGGCUGCAACUCGCCUGCAUGAAGGCGGAAUCGCUAGUAAUCGCAGGUCAGCAUACUGCGGUGAAUACGUUCCCGGGCCUUGUACACACCGCCCGUCACACCAUGGAAGUUGGCCACGCCCGAAGUCGUUACCCCAACCGUUUACGGAGGGGGACGCCGAAGGCAGGGCUGAUGACUGGGGUGAAGUCGUAACAAGGUAACC
rnacentral:rRNA from 1 species